CCUACGGGAGGCAGCAGUGGGGAAUAUUGCACAAUGGGCGAAACCCUGAUGCAGCGACGCCGCGUGAGUGAAGAAGUCUUUCGGUGUGUAAAGCUCUAUCAGCAGGGAAGAAAAUUACGGUACGUGACUACGCCUCCACGGCCAACUCCGUGCCAGCAGCCGCGGUCACACGGAGGGGGCAAGCGUUAUCCGGAUUUACUGGGCGUAACGGGAGCCUAGACGGCAGGGACAGUCUGGAGUGAAAUCCCAUGGGUUAAACAUGGAACUGCCGUGGAAACGGUGCGGCGAGAGUGAAGGAGAGGUAAGCGGAAUUGCGAGUGUAGCGGUGAAAUGCGUAGAUAUUAGGAGGAACACCAGUGGCGAAGGCGGCGUACUGGACUGUAACUGACGUUGAGGCUCGAAAGCGUGGGGAGCAAACAGGAUUAGAUACCCGAGUAGUC
rnacentral:rRNA from 1 species